rnacentral:misc_RNA from 1 species
AACGCACCUUGCGCCUUUUGGUAUUCCGAAAGGCAUGCCUGUUUGAGUGUCAUGAAAUCUCAAUCCCCCCGGGUUUAUGAUCUGGGUUGGGACUUGGACUUGGGUGCUGCCGGUUACAUGGCUCGCCUCAAAUGACUUAGUGGAUCUCUCUGCAUCCGUGACAGACGUAAUAAGUUUCGUCUUGUCCCUUGCUGUCUGAGUCUGCUCCUAACCUGCCAUUGUGCACUUUUAGACUCUGACCUCAAAUCAGGUAGGACUACCCGCUGAGCUUAA